rnacentral:rRNA from 1 species
AUUGAACGCUGGCGGCAUGCCUUACACAUGCAAGUCGAACGGCAGCACGGGAGCUUGCUCCUGGUGGCGAGUGGCGAACGGGUGAGUAAUACAUCGGAACGUACCCUGAAGUGGGGGAUAACGUAGCGAAAGUUACGCUAAUACCGCAUAUUCUGUGAGCAGGAAGGAGGGGGAUCGCAAGACCUCUUGCUUUAGGAGCGGCCGAUGUCGGAUUAGCUAGUUGGUGAGGUAAAGGCUCACCAAGGCGACGAUCCGUAGCGGGUCUGAGAGGAUGAUCCGCCACACUGGGACUGAGACACGGCCCAGACUCCUACGGGAGGCAGCAGUGGGGAAUUUUGGACAAUGGGCGCAAGCCUGAUCCAGCCAUGCCGCGUGAGUGAAGAAGGCCUUCGGG